UGCACUGUCACCACUGCUGCCACCAUCG
rnacentral:misc_RNA from 1 species